UACAGAGGUCUCAAGCGUUGUUCGGAUUUAUUGGGCGUAAAGGCGCGUAGGCGGCGGGGUAAGUCGGGUGUGAAAUCUCAGGGCUCAACCCUGAAACUGCACUUGAUACUGCUCUGCUUGAGGACUGGAGAGGAGACUGGAAUUCACGGUGUAGCAGUGAAAUGCGUAGAUAUCGUGAGGAAGACCAGUGGCGAAGGCGGGUCGUCUGGACAGUUCCUGACGCGUG
rnacentral:rRNA from 1 species